GUCCUGUUUAGACCAUUGAACUAUUAUUACUACGUAUAGAACUGGCACAUAGAACCAGUAUUUUACGGGUUACGGGUACGGGUUUUAUGGGUUGUUGUUUUGACAACAAACCAUAGAAGAGCGUUUCUUUUAUUUUUUGCCAGUUCUAUAUAUUGUGACCUUUUUUUGCCACUUUUGUGUUAUUUCUACUUAGAAUCACGAGCUCUUUCGAUCCUAAUGGGAUAAAAAAGUGUCCCAGAGUUUUUUUCCUAUUGUGUUACCAUUUCCUCAUAUACUUUGUAUGGCGGUAACAAAAAGGAAAGAUGCUAAUAAGGAUGAAAAAGGCUCGCGAUCCUGACUAGAAAUAACACAAAAGUGGCAAAAAAGGCCACA